rnacentral:misc_RNA from 1 species
AUUUUUUAAGUUCAUGAACAUAAAAAUCCUUACACGUAUUUCCUGUAUAUUGUGCAGGGUGUCCACAACGCCAUUCACGGCCCCGCCCUCCUCGACCUGGCUCAGAUCACUCAUACCAAUGUAGAGCAGGCAUCUAUGUUCUUCACCGCCAUGGCUGCUGGGGGACUACUGGGGACGCUAUGCGUGAGCUGGCUCUUUGAUCGAUUCCCCCGCCACCAGUCCCUCCUUCUCGGCGUCGCCAACGUCGGUGUCGGUAUCACGACGGCGGGAAUACCUUGCAGUGUACAGUACCCCCUCACAAUAGCGCUCUGUUUCGUCAACCAGUUCAUCAGUGGUGGAAUGGAAACAGUUGGCAACACUGACAUGGUCGCCACAUGGGGCAGCGAGAGCAAUAUGCAUCUCCAGUUCAUGCACUUCACACUGGCAGCUGGAGCGACAGUAGCACCUCUCAUUUUGAAACCUUUCCUUGCAAAAUCCCAGCUCCAAACACCAUCUGACCUGACCUCCAAUGGGACCGUAUUCCCUUGUUCGAUUUCAACAGAAGUUGGUGGAUCUCACAGUUCAAUGUUCUUCCCUAACACUUCCCUAAUGUACAACGAUACUACGGUGGUUUUGCCUCUUCAUAACCAGACCAUAUCGUGUCCAGAACCUCCCAGUCUCAUCCGUUACGCGUACCUCAUCAGCGGACUCAUGUCGGUAACAGCUGCAGUUCCUUUUCUUGUGGAAGCUUGUAAGACUGACAAGAAAUCGCGACCUCAACCAGCUCAAGCAGACCAAUUAGCCAGACCAACUCUACCCCCGAGACUCAGAUAUCCAGUGUUUAUAUUCGUAGGAUUGUUUUACCUUUUCACUUGUGCCGCAGGUGGGUCGUAUAUAGCUUAUCUCGCCACCUUCUGUGUAAAGCAGCGUGGGUGGACGAGGUACCUCGCGUCAUUGAUCACAACCGCCUUCUGGGGGAGCCUCUGUCUUUUUAGGCUGAUAGCGGUUGUCCUGUGCAAGUUCCUUUCUCCUUUGACGAUGAUGAACGUGUUCCAGGUGACGAUGCUGCUGUCGAUGCUGAUGGCGUGGGUUUCUGUUCACUUGGACUCGGAUGCUGGUCUCUGGGUAUCUGUUAUUGGAACAGGGGCAUCAAUAUCAACCUUAUUUGCCUCCGGGAUUUCUUACGUCGAUGGUGACGUCAUGCCCGUAACGGGUCGUGUGACGACAGUCGUCAUGAUUGGUUCAAAUAUUGCGGGGAUUGUUAACCCGGUCGUGAUGGGGCACCUGCUACAAGAAGUAUCGAUUAUGUGGUUCCUGUAUGUGCCUAUCAUUGAACAUUGUGCUGCGUUUGCUGCAUUUCUGGGUCUGGUGUUGCAUUCCAAAACGUUAAUCAGAAACUACAUACAGAAGUGUUCCGAGCUGACUCAAGCUGAGGUAGAUCUUGACACUUCUGUAGGGAAGAACACAUACGAAGCAUGAGGACUUUAGUAAGGAAACUGACUCUAUACAUUUGCUUUAGAUACUACCACCUCUGAAAUGAAAAAAGAAAGAAAUUUAAAACAAAACAUGAUUUUAUGAUUGUAAAUCACUAAAAAGCAGAUCUUGUGACGAAAAUCGUCCAUGAGUGUGAACAAUCCUUGAACGCACGCUCGAGGUUUCCUUGAUAAGUUCAGAAUCCCAUACAGCAAGACUUGUCUUGAUACACAUUGCCCUAAAAUAUUGAAGGUAAUUUUAUCCCCACCCGUAAGAGAAUUCAUGGAAAUGAAAAGAGUCCUCCUUUAAGCCAUCACCUCAUGGCUUGAGAUUCCGGCUAGAGGUGUGUUCAUGUUUGGGAAAUACACUGGUAUUUGGUCACAUACCUAUACAAUCCCCUUGCGGUAGGAAACUUACUUACGUUGCAUUGCCAGCAUCUGGAUGCAUAUACUCUUAGCCAAGCGUUGUGUCAAACCUCUCACCCUUUGAAGCUGAUGCACCAUUUACCAAAGUGAAUUCUGCAUGCUGUUUUUAUAAUCAGAGUUUGUGAAGAAAUGGCCAUCAUUCACUUCGCUAGACUGCCAGUUUUACAAUGGCAGUGUUAAAGUCAUGGCGAUCGCUAAAAGUACGAUCAUUACAAUCAUGGUAUACUGCACUUUCUCUCGAUUACCAUACAUCGCACACUCUCUAACGUACACUUCAUGGUGAUCAAAAGAGGGUUGUGUAUGAUGAUCAAGGGAAAGAGUAGUGUAUGAUGAUUAAGAGAGAGAGCAGUGCAUGAUGAUUAAGAAAGUGGAUAGUGUAUGAUGAUCAAGAGAGGGUAGUAUGUGUUGAUCAAGAGAGGGUUGUGUAUGAUGAUCAAGGGAGAGAGUAGUGUGUGAUGAUUAAGAGAGAGAGCAGUGCAUGAUGAUUAAGAAAGUGGUAGUGUAUGAUGAUCAAGAGGAAGAGGGAGAGCAGUGCAUGAUGAUUAAGAAAGUUGGUAGUGUGUGAUGAUCAAGAGAGGGUAGUGUGCGUUGAUCAAGAGAGGGCUGUGUAUGAUGAUCCAGAGAGAGUAAUGUAUGAUGAUCAAGAGAGGGUAGGGUGCGUUGAUCAAGAGAGGGCUGUGUAUGAUGAUCCAGAGAGAGUAAUGUAUGAUGAUCAAGAAAGGGUAGUGUGUGUUGAUCAAGAGAGGGCUGUGUAUGAUGAUCCAGAGAGAGUAGUGCAUGAUGAUCAAGAGAGGGUAGUGUGUGUUGAUCAAGAGAGGGCUGUGUAUGAUGAUCAAGAGAGAGUAGUGUAUGAUGAUCAAGAGGAAGAGGGAGAGCAGUGCAUGAUGAUUAAGAAAGUGGGUCGUGUAUAUGAUCAAGAGAGAGAGCAGUGUAUGGUGAUGAUCACGAAAGGUUCCUGUCAACGUUGGUGUCAAGAAUGACUAAGGUUUCAACUGAUUACAGCUUUAUCAGCAUAUUCUGGAAGAACACAAGACGCAGCACUUGGACUUUUACAAGGACCUUGAAACUUGUGCGGCGAAAACUACAUCUUUACGAGUUAUGUUUGAUUUUUUUUUCAGGUUGUUAAUAUAUACACGACUAAAUGAACAUAUGCAAACACUACAGAAUAUCACUGACGUCUGUUUGUGUUUGAUUCUUUGUGUCUCCGUCAUACAAACCGAUCUUUUUACAUGGGAGUAUGUCGUAAUUUGACUCAUUUGUACGGAGAUGUUUCUAGGACCAUGCGUACACACGACCUGUCGAUAACACUAACUACACAAGGGAAAGCGAUACCGAAGUGUACACACAUUCCAUAAUAGGGCCCGUAGACUUUGUUUGUUCUCAUAUCAGAUACACCUCAGUUUGAGUUAAAUAUAGCGUUUGUGGUUGUGUUGCAGAACAUAAUCUUGAUCAAACAUAGUUUUAGACUGUGAUAAGUAGUUGUAUAAACCAUUCUUCAUCAGAUCAGUUACCAACGAGUUGACCAUAAUGUUAACGAAUGUCCAUCGUUGAAGCUCAUGUGGAUAAUGCAAUGAAAUAGCCAUUUACUGCAGGCCAUUCGUAGCGUCUGUGUCGCCUAAUGUUUUAUGAUUGAAUAAACACACUAGAGUUUG